GCGUCGAGCCCCACGCACAAGACC
rnacentral:miRNA from 11 species